rnacentral:rRNA from 1 species
AGAGUUUGAUCCUGGCUCAGAUUGAACGCUGGCGGAAUGCUUUACACAUGCAAGUCGAACGGUAGAGGGGGCAACCCCUUGAGAGUGGCGAACGGGUGAGUAAUAUAUCGGAACGUGCCCAGUCGUGGGGGAUAACGUAGCGAAAGUUACGCUAAUACCGCAUACGAUCUAAGGAUGAAAGCGGGGGAUCGCAAGACCUCGCGCGAUUGGAGCGGCCGAUAUCAGAUUAGGUAGUUGGUGGGGUAAAGGCUCACCAAGCCAACGAUCUGUAGCUGGUCUGAGAGGACGACCAGCCACACUGGAACUGAGACACGGUCCAGACUCCUACGGGAGGCAGCAGUGGGGAAUUUUGGACAAUGGACGCAAGUCUGAUCCAGCCAUUCCGCGUGCAGGAUGAAGGCCCUCGGGUUGUAAACUGCUUUUGUACGGAACGAAAAGGUUUGUCUUAAUACGAUGAGCUCAUGACGGUACCGUAAGAAUAAGCACCGGCUAACUACGUGCCAGCAGCCGCGGUAAUACGUAGGGUGCAAGCGUUAAUCGGAAUUACUGGGCGUAAAGCGUGCGCAGGCGGUUAUGUAAGACAGAGGUGAAAUCCCCGGGCUCAACCUGGGAACUGCCUUUGUGACUGCAUAGCUAGAGUACGGUAGAGGGGGAUGGAAUUCCGCGUGUAGCAGUGAAAUGCGUAGAUAUGCGGAGGAACACCGAUGGCGAAGGCAAUCCCCUGGACCUGUACUGACGCUCAUGCAC